rnacentral:tRNA from 1 species
GGGGGUGUAGCUCAGAUGGUAGAGCGAUCGCUUCGCAUGCGAUAGGUAAGGGGAUCGGAUGCCCUUCACCUCCA